CAGUAGCCGCGGUAAUACAGAGGGUGCAAGCGUUAAUCGGAAUUACUGGGCGUAAAGCGCGCGUAGGUGGUUUGUUAAGUUGGAUGUGAAAUCCCCGGGCUCAACCUGGGAACUGCAUCCAAAACUGGCAAGCUAGAGUAUGGUAGAGGGUGGUGGAAUUUCCUGUGUAGCGGUGAAAUGCGUAGAUAUAGGAAGGAACACCAGUGGCGAAGGCGACCACCUGGACUGAUACUGACACUGAGGUGCGAAAGCGUGGGGAGCAAACAGGAUUAGAGACCCCAGUAGUCCCUGUCUCUUAACC
rnacentral:rRNA from 1 species